rnacentral:rRNA from 1 species
GACGAACGCUGGCGGCGUGCUUAACACAUGCAAGUCGAACGGAAAGGCCCUGCUUUUGUGGGGUGCUCGAGUGGCGAACGGGUGAGUAACACGUGAGUAACCUGCCCUUGACUUUGGGAUAACUUCAGGAAACUGGGGCUAAUACCGGAUAGGAGCUCCUGCUGCAUGGUGGGGGUUGGAAAGUUUCGGCGGUUGGGGAUGGACUCGCGGCUUAUCAGCUUGUUGGUGGGGUAGUGGCUUACCAAGGCUUUGACGGGUAGCCGGCCUGAGAGGGGGACCGGGCCAUUUGGGGGUGGGAUGCCGCGGAGGGGCCCCGGGGAGGAUGGGGGGGGGAAUAUGGCCAAAACGCCGGGGGGGUGAAGCGGGAGCGCGGGUGGGGAAAUGGGGGGGUUCGGGAUGAAAACCCGUUGCGCGGGGGACGAGGCGCGGGGGGCGGUAAAGGGAAAAGAAGCGCCGGCAAGCUGCG